rnacentral:tRNA from 1 species
GGUUGUGGCUCAGAGGUAGAGCACUCGCCUACCGUGUGUGAAGCCCUGGGUUCGAUCCUCAGCACCA